UACGUAGGGGCAAGCGUUGUCCGGAAUGACUGGGCGUAAAGGGCGUGUAGGCGGCCGAUUAAGUCUGGAGUGAAAGUCCUGCUUUCAAGGUGGGAAUUGCUUCGGAUACUGGUUGGCUUGAGUGCAGAAGAGGGAAGUGGAAUUCCAUGUGUAGCGGUGAAAUGCGUAGAGAUUUGGAGGAACACCAGUGGCGAAGGCGGUUUACUGGGCCACAUCUGACGCUGAUGUACGAAAGCGUGGGGAGCAAACAGGAUUAGAUACCCCGGUAGUCCCU
rnacentral:rRNA from 1 species